rnacentral:tRNA from 1 species
GGGGUUGUAGUAUAGCUUGGUCUAGUACCCGCGCCUCGGGCGUGCGGAACCCGAGUUCAAAUCUCGGCAACCCCA